UUAAAAAAAGACUUUUCCAAGAUAUUCAUACAAUCAAAUAAAAAAAACCUGUGCAGUCCCUACACAUGAAUCCAGUACCAUUACAUAAUAAACAAAGCAGAAAGACAUAUUUUAUGAUAUUUCUUCCAUUAGUAUUUAUUUUAUAUAUAUAUAUAUCUCGAAUUCCGAUUUUCAUAUACUUUGAACGAACUUUUAAAGUAGACAUAUUAUGCUUCUUCAGGUUUUCUUUCCUCUUGUAUGAUAAUAGGUGGUUUAUUUAUGUAAAAGUUCAGCAAAGUUAAAAAGCCCAAAGUCCACUGCUCCUUAAACUUCUGAAUUGCUUAGUCAGUAGUCAGGGUUUCCCCCAGCACUAUCUUGUUAAGGCGGCCGCCUUAACAAGACUAGGGCCCCGCCUUGACUACCAAUGUAUUGAAAAAAAAAAAAAAAAAAAAAAAAGUUGAAAAAAAAAAAAAAAAAAUGGCAUUGAUAAUACUCAGGUAAUACUGUUUACAACAUUAGUCGUGCCAAUAAAGUUUUUUGAGUGUAAUUGAGACGGCGACAUCUGGUGGUUGAAUAUAUUGUUGCAUAGUCUAUCAUAGUCACCUGUCAAUCUACCGCCAGUGACGUGCGGUGAGGUCAGUGAGUGGGUAGGCACUGAGUUCUGAAAGCCAGAUUUCUCUAAACCUAUAUAUUGUUAAAUCAAAAACAAUAAACAACAAACAGGCACGCACGGCCGAUUUCAAAUAAGUUCCUCCCUUUCUUUCUUUCUUUCUCUCUCACUCACUCACUCACUCACACACACAGACGGGACGUAUAUGAAAUGUCACGACGGUGACUUCAGGUUUGCCCGUAGCCUACUGUAGUUUGGUCUAAAUGAUUAAACAUCGCAUCCAUCGACUUAACGGACCCGUCCCUCACACCGAGGGCAGAAUAAACGUAAGGCAACAAGUCAAACCUUCGCCGAUUCAAACUACCGGUACUACUUCUAUUCAACUUAAAAAUAAAAGACAGCAUUCAUCAUUAUGUAGGACUACAGCAUAACUGAUGGCAACUCCACUCCAUAAACUUUAUCUUAAUAGAUAUAGUACCAGUAGCAUAUGCCCCAUGGACCUGUCCAGCAUCAGAAUGUAACCAUUUAUCCACAUUGCAGAGCUUAGGUUUGUCCGUCAGUAACAAUGAAAACACAACUGCUCAAUUGAAUAUAAAAUGCAGAAUGGAUUGCACUCGGUAUCAAUUCAUCCAACUUUAUUAUUAAAUAAACCCCCAAAAAGUUUCUGACUCACCAAUCUGACUCCCUGGCUGUAGAAAUAAGCAAUACGAUAGUAAUCCAGUGACAGUCUGACUGACAGCACAGCUAGCUAGCAUCCUUCCGUUCAUGUAGGCUACCUGUCCGUUUGAAAUGCUCGAACAUUGUUUGUCCCUGUUGCUGCUGUACACCGUCCAAGGCUGGCGCAGGCCUUUCUCUUGCUAUUCAUUCUGUUCCUUUUUAAAUUAUAAUCCAAUUUGUUAAAAUUCCUCCAGUCUGAAAUAUCUGCGGGCACGGACACGGCAGCUGCAAUGUUGACUUAAAAAUCCGCGGGGGUAACGCGACGUGAAUGAGCAUAGCCAACGUAAUGACGUUGGCCUAAGCUGCGUAAAUGUCUAGUAAUAUCUCGAUUUUAAUUGGUCCAUGAAUGAUAUGUAACGUAAAGGCUUAUGCAGUAUGAUGAGCUACAUCAGCUGUAUCCAAACCUGUCCCUCCUGUCAGCGAUCGCGCUCACGAUACCAGUGGCAAGUGUCAAUUGUGAGCGAGAUUUUUCUGCCAUGAAUAGGAUAAAGACAGACCUGCGAAACAGGCUGCAGGGCAAGAGUCUUACAGCCUGCAUGAAGAUCAGCAUCAAUGGCCCACCAGUGUCUAAGUUUAAUUUCAGCAGGGCGCUGGAACUGUUCUUUGCACAGCCACGCAGAAUAGCAUGCACUGAUGCCUCUUGUCAGCUGUGCCGCAAAUAAGAAGAUCCAGAAAGGAACUGUAAAUAGUUGAAUUUGCCCUUUUAUGUGCAUACAAAAGUUAAGUGUAUUGUCCAUUAUUUGUAUUUAAUUUGCACUGUUCUUUAAUUUUAUUUUGUAGUGUCUGCAUGUUUUCCACAACAUUUGUACCUACUGUUGUUUAUUUAUAUUGAAAUAAACAGUUGUUUAUUUCA